UGGUAGAUUUUGUCAUCUAUUGUUAUAUUUUGUAAAAUAGAAACUAUGUGUAGUUUUUGUAAUAUCGACUCUUAAAGUGUAUAUUUAUGUGAUUUGCCUGCCAAAAAUGAUGCAAGAAUCAAAAUUGGGCCCUCAAUUGGCCCAUUAAUGAAACUGCCCAAUUUUGGGCUUGAAUUAUGGACUUCAGUCCAUUUUUCUGAAGUGUAUAUCAGUUCUAUACUGACUGUAUAUCAGCCCUAUUGCUGCUGCGUUUUUGUAUACGCGCUGUAUAUCUAUGUAUAAACCUUGCGUCCUCACUUUCACUUUUAAUAUACGCCAUUAUCAGCUGCUAUACAGUGUACACCAACUGUAUCUAACCGUAUAUAAGUGUAUAUCCCAUGGAUAUCAGUCCAGUUUUGGACUUUAACGCUUGACUCGAGAUAAUGUGGGCGAAUGCAACGAUAUGGAUGACAGUCCCAUUGGACUCGUUCAAGAUGGGUUCAUGCAAAAUAAAGAAAGAUAGGGAAUUAGUACUACUUAAAUUAAAUAACUGAAUGAAGUAUAAUUCAAAGAUAGUAUAUGAACUCCGAAUAUAUCAAAUCGAAUAUCCAAAUUUGGUCAAUUCACCAUAUGUGUGAACAAGACAGAAAAUCCCUUUCAUGAUGAUUUUUCUUUGAAGCUUUCACUAAAUUAAUACCCCUUCUAAACUAUGAACAAAACAUCUAUUUGGAGAAGAGCAUAUCAUUAAGGCAACAUUAGGAGCAAAUAAUCAUUCAAGGAACAUGCAUAAGGCUAGACUAUUUUAUCAACAACUUAUAAACGCUCCCGAAAAGGGAAUUAUUUUAAGAGGGACAACGGAGAAUUCUGGGGAAAAUGAGGCAAACACACUAGCCAUGCUAUAUUGUAGGAGAUGACACGACGCCACUCAUAAAACAAUGAAAGAAAUCCAUUAAAUUGGGUAUAAAAACUUAAACAGGAGAAGGAAGGGAAGGUAGCAAGCCCUGCAGGUGGCUUUCUUUAUCAACAUAAAGACAUUCAAGUAAGAAGAAACUUAAUAAAUCAACACACAUACUUGUUUAUGAAAGCAGACAACCAUUAGCCUACGCUGGCUCUGUCACAGGCAACUUUUGACAGUGUAAGGCUUCAAAGGGAGAAAAUAAAUUUAAACCAACCUUUGACUAAAAAUUUUCUCAAUACAACGAAAUAAAACUAUCAUCAAAACCGUGAAAACUGGAAAAAAAAAGUCUGGUAUGAAAAUUUUAGAUUUCAAUAACCAACAAUCAACCAAGACAACCAAAAUACUUUGUGGAACCUUUAUGCAUAACACUUUCUAGAUUGAAAUUUUUUAUAACCGAGAUAAGAACCGAUUUUAGCAGCAUGUCAAAGUUACAUACGACCAAACCAACUAAAUUAACCAGAAUUAAUCAUGAAACAAGCAUAAAAUAGGAUACAACACAACAGGCAAUUCGUGGAUAUAAUCUCAUCAACGGCAAUACCAGCGAACCAACACCACAAUUACUCCGACUACUUAUGAAGAUCGAUAUUAACGCCAAAAAAGGAGAAGAAUAAGAGAGGCUAAGCUGGGUUUACCUCUUCCCGGGCAGCCAACUGAGACGACGAAUCGAUGACGACUUCACCACCGGUUUUUCUUCGAGAAUUUUGGUUGCGCACGCGCCUCCCGAAUCCUCAAUUUUUCUCCAAAAAUCCUCCUUAACCUCUAUCCUUCAACCUCUAUUUCUAGGGAAAAGAAUUAGGGUUUUCGGACUUGAAAUCUGGAAUUGAGUUGAUUUUUUGAGGAAAUUUUUGAAGUCCAUAGUGAGACAAAACUUGAAUUUAAUUGAAUCAGAAAGAGACGUUGGGUAUUAAAUCCUUCCCCGAAAAUGGAUGAACAUCUUCUGAAAGGAGAAAAGGUGGACGAGUUUGUAGCCGAAAAAGGCUGAACACGAGGGUAAAAGAGUAAUUGACCGGAAAAAACGGCUAGGAUUUAGCCGAUAUUGGUUGUUUAUCGCCGGUGGUGUGGGGUUUGUAACAUUGGAGCUGGUAAGCUGUUUGUUGCGUUGGUACGGUGUUGUUACAGCGUUGCUGUUGUCGGCUGUAAUUGAUGCGUUUGUACG
rnacentral:lncRNA from 1 species